rnacentral:rRNA from 1 species
GAUGAACGCUGGCGGCAUGCCUAAUACAUGCAAGUCGAACGAGAGGAAGGAAAGCUUGCUUUUCUGAAUCUAGUGGCGAACGGGUGAGUAACACGUAGGUAACCUGCCCAUGUGCCCGGGAUAACUUCUGGACACGGAUCCCAACACCGGAUCGGUAGCAGACAAGCAUUUGACUGCUAUCAAAGUGGCCAAGGCCAUGAACAUGGAUGGACCUGCGGUGCAUUAGCUAGUUGGUGAGGUAACGGCCCACCAAGGCGACGAUGCAUAGCCGGCCUGAGAGGGCGGACGGCCACAUUGGGACUGAGACACGGCCCAAACUCCUACGGGAGGCAGCAGUAGGGAAUUUUCGUCAAUGGGGGGAACCCUGAACGAGCAAUGCCGCGUGAGUGAGGAAGGUCUUCGGAUCGUAAAGCUCUGUUGUAAGAGAAAAACGACAUUCAUAGGGAAUGAUGAGUGAGUGAUGGUAUCUUACCAGAAAGUCACGGCUAACUACGUGCCAGCCGCCGCGGUAA